rnacentral:tRNA from 1 species
GCUGGAUUAGCUCAGUGAUAGAGCAACCGCCUUGUAAGCGGUAGGUCAAGGGUUUGAGUCCCUUAUCCAGCUCCA